UAUGGAUAUUCAUCAGGAUCAAUCUCAAAUUAAUCUUCUCAUUGUAUAAUCUUCUUCUCAAGAAAAAUCUUAGGCUUAAGAUCUUAGACCAACAUCUUGAUUUAGACUGCGCGAUCAACUCCUUGAUCUGCAGUCUUCUUCUUCUUCUUCUCAAUCUUCACUCUUGAAGAGAAAACAGCAUCAUCUCUUGGCGUGUGGAAAGGGGACGCCCAACUCUUGGGCAUGGAAGAGAAGAGAGGGAGGAGAGGAGGCAUGGAGAAGGGAGAGAGAGGAAUUUGUUUCAUAAAAAACUCUAUUACC
rnacentral:lncRNA from 1 species